rnacentral:rRNA from 1 species
UACGAAGGGGGCUAGCGUUGUUCGGAAUUACUGGGCGUAAAAGCGCACGUAGGCGGAUCGAUCAGUCAGGGGUGAAAUCCCAGGGCUCAACCCUGGAACUGCCUUUGAUACUGUCGAUCUGGAGUAUGGAAGAGGUGAGUGGAAUUCCGAGUGUAGAGGUGAAAUUCGUAGAUAUUCGGAGGAACACCAGUGGCGAAGGCGGCUCACUGGUCCAUUACUGACGCUGAGGAGCGAAAGCGUGGGGAGCAAACAGG